GACGAACGCUGGCGGCGUGCUUAACACAUGCAAGUCGAACGGAAAGGCCCUGCUUUUGUGGGGUGCUCGAGUGGCGAACGGGUGAGUAACACGUGAGUAACCUGCCCUUGACUUUGGGAUAACUUCAGGAAACUGGGGCUAAUACCGGAUAGGAGCUCCUGCUGCAUGGUGGGGGUUGGAAAGUUUCGGCGGUUGGGGAUGGACUCGCGGCUUAUCAGCUUGUUGGUGGGGUAGUGGCUUACCAAGGCUUUGACGGGUAGCCGGCCUGAGAGGGUGACCGGCCACAUUGGGACUGAGAUACGGCCCAGACUCCUACGGGAGGCAGCAGUGGGGAAUAUUGCACAAUGGGCGGAAGCCUGAUGCAGCAACGCCGCGUGCGGGAUGACGGCCUUCGGGUUAUAAACCGCUUUCGCCUGUGACGAGGCGUGAGUGACGGUAAUGGGUAAAGAAGCACCGGCUAACUACGUG
rnacentral:rRNA from 1 species